UCCCUAGUGGCUAAGAUGGUAAAGUGUCUGCCUGCAAUGCGGGUGACCAGGGUUUGAUCCCUGGGUUGGGAA
rfam:TPA: Bos taurus chromosome 12, whole genome shotgun sequence.